GAUGAACGCUCGCGGGAGGCCUAACACAUGCAAGCCGAGCGGUAGAGUCUCUUCGGAGACUUGAGAGCGGCGCACGGGUGCGGAACACGUGUGCAACCUGCCUUUAUCUGGGGGAUAGCCUUUCGAAGGGAAGAUUAAUACCCCAUAAUAUACUGGAUGGCAUCAUCUGGUAUUGAAAACUCCGGUGGAUAGAGAUGGGCACGCGCAAGAUUAGAUAGUUGGUGAGGUAACGGCUCACCAAGUCAGCGAUCUUUAGGGGGCCUGAGAGGGUGAUCCCCCACACUGGUACUGAGACACGGACCAGACUCCUACGGGAGGCAGCAGUGAGGAAUAUUGGACAAUGGGUGAGAGCCUGAUCCAGCCAUCCCGCGUGAAGGACGACGGCCCUAUGGGUUGUAAACUUCUUUUGUAUAGGGAUAAACCUAGAUACGUGUAUCUAGCUGAAGGUACUAUACGAAUAAGCACCGGCUAACUCCGUG
rnacentral:rRNA from 1 species